AACCACAACCAUACCAUCCUGAACAUCCCUAUUUCAUCUGAUCUUAGGAGCUAAGCAGGGUCAAAUCUGAUUAGUACUUAGAUGGGAGACCUCUUGGGAAUACUGAGUGCCAUAGGCU
ensembl:rRNA 5S_rRNA 5S ribosomal RNA